rnacentral:rRNA from 1 species
AUUGAACGCUAGCGGGAUGCCUUACACAUGCAAGUCGAACGGAGUGGCGAACGGGUGCGUAAUGUACCGGAACGUGCCCCGUAGCGGGGGAUAACUACGCGAAAGCGUAGCUAAUCCCGCACACUUUUGGACCGGUCGAUACCGGAGUAGCUAGUUGGUGGGGUAACGGCUCACCAAGGCGACGAUCCGUAGCGGGUUGGGGAGGCCGACCAGCCACACUGGGACGGAGACACGGCCCAGACGCCUACGGUAGGCAGCAGUGGGGAAUGGUGGACAAUGGGGGAAACCCUCAUCCAGCCAUCCCGCGUGGUGGAUGAAGGCCUUCGGGUGGUAAAGCACUUUUGGCAGGAAAGCGGUACCUGCAGAAUAAGCACCGGCUAACUACGUGCCAGCAGCCGCGGUAAUAC